AAAACCGUAAUUUCAAUAAUAAUUAGUCAUUGAAGAGACCCUUAUUCCUACAUAUAUUCGAAAGUCUGAGCUCGAAACAUGUUCCUUCGCGCCGGAUGACAUGUUCCAUCGCACCAGCUGACGGGAUUCAAGAUACCACAGAAGUCGAUACCUGUUGCGUGUCAAGAGAGAAACCCUGUGAAAGAAGCAGCUCUGGAAUAACGGUCAGGUUAAACCACUCCUUUCCCUUCCUAUUUUAAUCGAUUUGUGCUAAUAUUGUGUCGCGUUUGCGGAUUUCAGUCGAUAUUUCAACCGUUACAACUACCUACCUACGUUGUCGCGUUGGUGGGUGCCGGGUCUGCCUAUUGCAACGAGCGUCGGGGUGAUCUAUACGAUUAUCCCUCCGACUACCUUCCCUUAACUCCAUCCCACUUCCUCAUUGGCCGCCCCCUGACCGCUCCAGCCGCUGUCGACAUCACCGAGGCACAGACUAGACGCCUGACACGCUACGACAGGAUCGAACAGCUUCGCCAACACUUCUGGAAGCGCUGGGCCACUGAAUACGUCACUGAGCUUCAAAUUCGAACCAAGUGGAAGACAAACACAAAUGAAAUAAAACUGGAUAGUCUAGUUUUAAUCAAGGACGAUCAACAACCACCACUCAAGUGGAGAUUGGGAAGAAUUGCUGAAAUUUUUCCCGGCAAAGAUGGAGUUGCACGCGUCGCAAACAUUCGAACAUCGACUGGAAUAGUGAAGCGGGCGUUUUCAAAACUUUGUCCUCUUCCGCUUCCUACAACAAAUGAAAAUGAAGAUUGCAUCGCUUCAAUCAACAAUCAAUGAAACUAAACGAAGAUCGAAGAACCUACUACCGGACUACAUUUUGAAAGUCAAUCAUGACCUUUCAAGGCUGGCGGUAUGUUAGCGCCAUCUAUGGGCGCAAGAAAACAACUCAUGACGUCAAAGGCGCGGAACCAGAGUGAAGAUCGCAGCUAACUUCGCGCCGCUCCGCCCUCCUGUCAACUUAAAAUCGAACGUUUCUAACACUCGACAAUUUGAUCUCGUUGCAUACAGUCUGUAAACCUAUCACUUUAAAUAAACGUUAAAACCGUAA